AACGAACGCUGGCGGCAUGCCUAACACAUGCAAGUCGAACGAGACCUUCGGGCCUAGUGGCGCACUGGUGCGCGACCGGUUGGAAUCUGCCUUGUGCUCCGGAAUAACGUGUAGAAUUAACUGCUAAUACCGGAGGUUAUAGAGAGACCAAAGUUUUAGCGGCAAAGGAUGAGCUUUCGUAGUAUUGGGUAGUGGUUGGGGUAAAGGCGUACCAAUCCUACGAUAGUUAGCUGGUAUGAGAGGAUGAUCCGCGACACUGGGGCUGGGAAACGGCCCAGACUCCUGCGGGAGGGAGCAGUGGGGAAUAUUGGACAAUGGGCGAAGGGAUGAUGCACCAAUGCCGGGAGAGCGAUGAAGGCCUUAGGGAUGUAAAGCUCUUUUACAAGGGACGAUAAUGACAGUACCUAGAGAAUAAGCACCGGCUAACUCCGUG
rnacentral:rRNA from 1 species